GGAGGGUGAACAGAGUCCCCAGUGUUUAUGCAGAGAAAAGAAUGCAGGGUCCUCUUCCAGCUGUUCCAUGUUGGAGCUGCGAGCCUGCAAAGCUCAGCAGAGGUCUGGGCUGCCAUUUGAUGACAAGGUCCAGUCCAGGGCAGUGGGGCCUGGGAGACACUAAAGUGAGUGUGCCUUCAGAGCAGCAAGAAGCGAGCCGGC
rnacentral:lncRNA from 1 species